AGGAACGAACGCGUGAGGCAGAUGUGAUCUGAUUUCGUGACGGCUAGGGUAGGCGAUCGCACGCUUAUAAAGGCGGCUCGGGUGGAGAGACGUGGGCCAAGCCCACGUCCGAGUCGGUAACGAUUACGAUCCGACGUCUCGGAUCGUGCCUUGUCCGUUACGUAUUCUCCGUUCCUGACCGGCAAAAAUAAGCGCGUAGGUAUGAGCUCGGCUCGGCUCAUUCCCGCAACCCGCGGCGCGUCGUGACGAGGCGUGGCGAGGCGGGCGGCGGAGGAGGAGUGCGCGAGGGCACCUUCUCUUCUCACUCUCCAAUAGCAUGUGGAAGAGAGACCCUUAUAAAGGGGUCCAAACUCUCCUCCACUAGCGGGGUGGGACUAAACUCCCACCACCUUGCCAUGCCACCACCUACAUGGGCCCUUGUAGAUUUUCUGAAAUUCUCUAGUGGGCCUAAGGCCCACCUCUAAAUUUCAACAAUCCCCCACCAGAUCUCAAGGGCACAUCGUGUUCCCUCGUUCCAAUCACUGUUUUAAUAUACCAGCAUUUCAGUGAAGACCUGUUAAGGUUGAGCUUCACCUAGAACAAGUAGCUACACCCCUUCACAACUGAACAAUGGACUAUGCCUUGAAUUGUCAGUUUGGCGUAAAGGAGCUUCACCACAAGUCUUACUAGUACUAGGCUGCCGAAGGUGACCCCUCGGGUGGAGCAUAUUAGUCACACUCCUGGCCUAUUCAUGAGUUUACUAGAGAUCACCCAAAUCUCAUAGACUGUGACCAGCAGUCAAGCUCAUAUAGGUGUGUUCCUCCAAAGAUCGCUCUGUAGGACAGCAUCUUGCUUACAUAUAAGCUUUAGAACACAUUAAGACAGUAGUCAUCCUACCAUACAGUAUCCGAGAGUAUUGCAUCUCCAACGGAGUGGGUUAGUAAAGUUACUCUCCUCAGUUCACCACUGGCUUGUUUUCCCAGGUCCUACUUCACGGGAUCUCCGAUCAUAUAGGUUAGGUUACUACCAUGGCAACUCAUGUGGGUCUCAUACCCAUCUCCCUCGAUGCACUAUCUAUCACAACACGUGAUAGCCCUUUAGUAAAGGGAUCUGCCAGAUUCUUAGCCGUUUGGAUAUAAUCCAACGCUAUCACUCCGGAGUUUCUCAAACGUCUGACAGACUUCAAUCUCAUUCUUAUAUGUUUGUUGGACUUCAUAUUGUCCUUUGAACUCUUCACUUUAACAAUAACCGUCUGAUUAUCGCAGUUCAUAAGGAUAGCCGGAACCGGCUUCUCAACCACAGGUAAGUCCAUCAAAAGAUCUCGAAGAAAUUCUGCUUCGACACCAGAUGUGUCUAAUGCUGUUAAUUCUGCUUCCAUUGUCGAUCUUGUUAAGAUCGUUUGCUUGCAAGACUUCCAGGAAACAGCACCACCCCCAAGAGUAAACAUAUACCCAGUAGUGGCCUUCAUCUCAUCAGCAUCAGAGAUCCAAUUCGCAUCACUAUACCCUUCAAGUACUGACGGGAAUCCCGUAUAGUGAAGCCCGUGGUUGACAGUACCUUUCAAGUAGCGCAUAAUUCUUUCAACAGCACGCCAAUGAACAUCGCCCGGGUUUGCAACAAACCGGCUAAGUUUGCUCACAGCAAACGCGAUGUCAGGCCUCGUUGCGCUAGCUAGGUACAUAAGUGAACCGAUAAUUUGAGAGAAUCUCGAUUGAUCUAUAGCUGUGCCUUUAAACUUUCGAAUAAGCACACUAGGAUCAUAUGGUGUUUGACAAAUCUUGCAGUCUGAAUAUCCAAAGCGACUCAAAAUCUUGUCAACAUAGUGGGAUUGCAGAAGUGUAAUCCCACCCUCAUCAUCUCUCAACAGCUUGAUGUUCAAGAUAACAUCAGCCACCCCAAGGUCCUUCAUCUCAAAGUUUUGAGACAGAAAAGACUUAACCUCCUCAAUUACUUUGAGGUUGGUUCCAAAUAUCAGUAUGUCAUCAACAUACAAUCACAAUAUAACUCCUUCGCCCCCACCAUGGCGAUAGUAUACACAUUUGUCAGCUUCAUUAACAACAAAGCCAACAGAUGUCAGAGUUGUAUUGAACUUCUCAUGCCAUUGCUUAGGUGCUUGUCUCAGACCAUAUAAAGAUUUCAGCAACUUACACACCUUUCCUUCCUGACCUUCUAUCACAAAGCCAUCUGGCUGUUGCAUAUAGAUUUCCUCAUUUAGCUCUCCAUUCAGGAAAGCCGUCUUAACGUCCAUUUGAUGAACGAGAAGACCAUGAGAGGCCGCCAAUGAGAGUAGUACUCUAAUGGUGGUCAGUCUAGCCACAGGUGAAUAAGUAUCGAAGAAAUCUUCCUCUUCUUUCUGGGCAUAGCCCUUGGCCACAAGCCUAGCCUUGUACUUUUCAAUUGUACCGUCGGGCCUAAGCUUCUUUUUGAACACCCACUUGCAUCCCAAUGGUUUGCAACCAUAGGGACGAUCAGUGAUUUCCCAUGUCCCGUUAGCCAUGAUGGAGUCCAUCUCGCUACGGACAGCAGCUUUCCAGUAAUCAGCAUCUGGAGAAGCAUACGCUUCUGAAAUAGAAGUGGGAUUAUCAUCCACGAGGUAUACGAAGAAAUCAUCACCAAAGGUCUUUGCAGUCCUUUGUCUCUUGCCCCUACCACGGGCUUCCUCGUCAUCCUCCUCAGGAUUUUCAUCAUGUGUUUGUUCAUAAUAUUCCAUAGGAAUGGCAGGCUCAGGAGUUAUCUCAGAUUCCUGUCUAGAAGUGCUUUGCAUAUCUCUCAUGGGAAAUAUAUCCUCAAAGAAUGUAGCAUCCCUCGACUCCAUUAUUGUACCGACCUUCACGUCAGGUACCUCAGAUUUCACUACUAGAAAUCUAUAGCCUACGCUAUUCUUAGCGUAUCCCAAAUUAACGCAAUCCACAGUCUUUGGUCCAAGCUUACGCUUCUUGGGAAUCGGUACAUUGACUUUCGCCAAGCAGCCCCAAGUACGUAAGUACGAGAGUGUCGUCCUUCUCUUUGACCACUCCUCGUAGGGAGUGACCUCAUUAUCUUUUGUAGGAACUUUAUUCAGGACAUGACACGCGGUCAAUAUAGCCUCCCCCCACCAUGCCUUGGAUAAACCCGAUGUAUCUAACAUGGCGUUAACCAAAUCAGUUAGAGUACGGUUUUUCCGCUCGGCAACCCCGUUUGACUGGGGUGAAUAGGGAGGCGUCCUCUCAUGAAUAAUGCCGUGUUCCGCACAAAAUGAAUCAAAUUCGUUUGAGAAGUACUCUCCACCACGAUCAGACCGGACUCGUUUAAUUUUCUUUUCAAGUUGAUUCUCAACUUCUGCCUUAUAGAUUUUAAAGUAGUGUAGAGCCUCAUCUUUAGUAUUUAACAGAUACACAUAGCAAAAUCUAGUGGAAUCAUCUAUCAAUGUCAUGAAGUAUUUCUUUCCACCUUUAGUCAAAACACCAUUCAUCUCACAAAGAUCAGAAUGUAUGAGUUCUAAUGGUGCCAAGUGUCUCUCCUCUGCAGCCUUGUGAGGCUUGCGAGGUUGCUUUGCUUGCACACACGAGUGGCACUUAGAACCUUUGACUAAAGUGAAAGUUGGGAUUAAAUUCAGUUUUGCUAGCCGCGACAUAACACCGAAACUUAUGUGACAAAGACGUGAAUGCCAAACUUCAGAUUCAUUAACACUCGAAUGAAUAUUGUUCACGACUUUAUUACAAAAAUCUGCUAGAGAAAGGCGGAACAGACCUCCGCAUUCAUAACCUUUUCCAACGAAAAGUCCAUAUUUCGUAACUACUACUUUAUUAGACUCGAACACCAACUUAAACCCUUCUCUACACAGAAGGGAGCCACUAACGAGAUUCUUCUUGAUGGCGGGGACAUGCUGCACGUUCUUCAGCUGCACGAUCCUUCCCGAAGUAAACUUCAGAUCGACCGUGCCAACACCAAGCACAGAAGCACUCGCGCCAUUCCCCAUCAAUACGGACCCGCGACCGGUGGCCUGAUAAGAAGAGAACAAUGACAAGUCAGCACACACAUGAAUAUUUGCACCCGUGUCCACCCACCAAUCGGUGGACCGACAAACUGUAAAUACAGUAAGUAAAUUACCGUACCCAGAUGCACCACUUUCAUUGUUGCCCACAAUCAUGUUUGCAGACUUGGAGUCCUGCGCCGGCUUCUUGUACUUGUUUGGGCAUUUGCUCGCCCAAUGUUCCUCUGAACCACAAGUAUAGCAGCCAUCUCCCUUCUUAUUCUUCUUGAAGGGCUUCUUCCCCUUCUUCUUGAAGUCGGUAUUCUGUUGGACAGAGUUCUUUCCCUUGGGCUUGUGAGAAUUGAAGUUCCUCUGAUGUACCAUAUUGGCAGCAGAAGAGCUUUCCACCGCUUUUCCAUUGGAGUCCUUUGCUCUCGAGUUCUGCUCAACACUCAGAUGGCCGAUGAUGUCCUCUACUGAGAACUCACGCCUCUGAUGUUUCAGAGUAGUAGCAAAGUUCCUCCAGGAAUUAGGGAGCUUAGCAAUUAUACAGCCCGCGACAAACUUGCCCGGCAAAUUGCACUUAAGAACCUCAAGUUCCUUAGCUAUGCAUAUUAUCUCAUGAGCUUGUUCCAAUACAGAACGGUUGCCAACCAUCUUGUAAUCGUGGAACUGCUCCAUAACAUACAUCUCACUCCCAGCAUCGGUGGCCCCGAAUUUAGAUUCGAGCGCCUCCCACAAGUCCUUGGCAACAUGCAUAUGUAAAUAUGCAUCAACCAGCUUAUCUCCGAUCACGCUAAUGACUGCUCCAAGGAAUAGGACGGUGGCCUCCCUAAACAUCUUCUCCUGUUCAGGAGUGAUAGUUUUCGUAGGAGUGACACCGGCUACCCAGAACACGUUCAUAGCCGUGAGCCAUAAGGUGGUUCUCGUUUGCCAACGCUUGAAAAAAGUACCGGUAAACUUAUCCGGUUUCAGUGCAGCAGCAAAACCAUUACUCGAAAAAUUCCUACAGACAUUAGGUUUUUGGAUUGUUGAGUAAAUAGGCAANNNNNNNNNNNNNNNNNNNNNNNNNNNNNNNNNNNNNNNNNNNNNNNNNNNNNNNNNNNNNNNNNNNNNNNNNNNNNNNNNNNNNNNNNNNNNNNNNNNNNNNNNNNNNNNNNNNNNNNNNNNNNNNNNNNNNNNNNNNNNNNNNNNNNNNNNNNNNNNNNNNNNNNNNNNNNNNNNNNNNNNNNNNNNNNNNNNNNNNNNNNNNNNNNNNNNNNNNNNNNNNNNACCUCUAAAUUUCAACAAGGGCCAGCCCCAUGAGGAUGGCUCGACGACGUCAGACGAGUGGAAGACGUAGUGUUAUGGGAUUACAAAAGGAUGGGGAAGAGAGAUGGUCUUGUGGAGAACCCCAUGGGCGAGCGAGUGGAGACGACAUGUAGAAGUGAUGGACUUGGAUUGGGACAACGGGUGGCAUCAUGGAGAUGGGAUGGUAGAGGACGGGACAGAUGGUCGGAUGCAUAUAUAGCAGGAGCGAAUUUAGGAUUUGGAACUUUGCUAGGACUGGUAGGAGAAGAGGACGACACA
rnacentral:lncRNA from 1 species